rnacentral:rRNA from 1 species
CCCUUAGAUGUCCUGGGCCGCACGCGCGCUACACUGAACGGAUCAGCGCGUUUUCCCUUCCCGAGAGGGACGGGUAACCUGCUGAACCCCGUUCGUGGUAGGGAUCGGGGCUUGCAAUUAUUCCCCGUGAACCAGUAAUGCCCAGUAAGUGCAAGUCAUAAGCUUGCGUUGAUUACGUCCCUGCCCUUUGUACACACCGCCCGUCGCUACUACCGAUUGAACGUUUUAGUGAGGUACUCGGACUGAGCCUCAGAAGAUUCACGUCUUUUGUGCUGCUCGGGAAGAUUCCCAAACUUGAGCGUUUAGAGGAAGUAAAAGUCGUAACA